UUAAAUUGAAGAGUUUGAUCAUGGCUCAGAUUGAACGCUGGCGGCAGGCCUAACACAUGCAAGUCGAACGGUAACAGGAAGCAGCUUGCUGCUUUGCUGACGAGUGGCGGACGGGUGAGUAAUGUCUGGGAAACUGCCUGAUGGAGGGGGAUAACUACUGGAAACGGUAGCUAAUACCGCAUAACGUCGCAAGACCAAAGAGGGGGACCUUCGGGCCUCUUGCCAUCGGAUGUGCCCAGAUGGGAUUAGCUUGUUGGUGGG
rnacentral:rRNA from 1 species